rnacentral:rRNA from 1 species
GACUCUUGAAAACGAAUAUCUCGGCUCUCAAAUCGAUGAAGAAGGUAGCGAAAUGCGAUGCUUGGUGUGAAUUGCAGAAUCCCGUGAACCAUCGAGUCUUUGAACGCAAGUUGCGCCCGAAGCCAUUUGGCCGAGGGCACGUCUGCCUGGGCGUCA